UGGGCCAGUAGCUCUGGGCUGAUCUGUAGCUCCCAGCAGUCCUCAGCCUUCUCCUCUGGCUCUGAGGCAUCCAGGGACUCCAGCUAUGAGGCAGGGGGAGGAUAUGGAUCUCAGCAUUUGGGGAUGCCGCCUGCUCCUGAACUGAAGGCAAGAAUUGUGAACCAGAAUCAUGGCAGAGGCUACUUCUUCUCACCCUCCCUGGUGGCCACUUGGUUCUCCCAUUUCUGAUUCCUUGGGUCGGUCCCCUCCAUCCCAAAUUAACCUCUUCUUUUGUUGUUUCCAUGUGACCUUUCUUGUAUUGGAAAGUAGUCUGUUGUUAGUCUGUAUGUUAGUUAACAUACUAAAUGCCUGAGAACAGAACA